rnacentral:lncRNA from 1 species
AGGAAUUUGAGCCUAGAGCGUAAGUUGGGACAUCCAUGCCAACUUGAGAGGUUAUUAUUCAUUCAUGUGUGAUUAUUGUUAUCGACUAUCAAUUACUCUAGAACUUGCUUUAGAUCUUAUUCAGGUUAGUAAUACAUUUGAUUUCCAUUAAUAUGAUUUAAGUGGCAAUAGGAAUUAAGCCAUGAUUACUUAUAAAAGCCGAC